rnacentral:rRNA from 1 species
UACGUAGGGGGCAAGCGUUGUCCGGAUUUAUUGGGCGUAAAGAGCGUGUAGGCGGCCAUACAGGUCAGCUGUGAAAACUCGAGGCUCAACCUCGAGACGUCGGUUGAAACCGUAUGGCUAGAGUCCGGAAGAGGAGAGUGGAAUUCCCGGUGUAGCGGUGAAAUGCGCAGAUAUCGGGAAGAACACCCGUGGCGAAGGCGGCUCUCUGGGACGGUACUGACGCUGAGACGCGAAAGCUAGGGGAGCGAAUGGG